UGGCGGACGGGUGAGUAAUGUCUGGGAAACUGCCUGAUGAGGGGGAUAACUACUGGAAACGGUAGCUAAUACCGCAUAACGUCGCAAGACCAAAGAGGGGGACCUUCGGGCCUCUUGCCAUCGGAUGUGCCCAGAUGGGAUUAGCUUGUUGGUGGGGUAACGGCUCACCAAGGCGACGAUCCCUAGCUGGUCUGAGAGGAUGACCAGCCACACUGGAACUGAGACACGGUCCAGACUCCUACGGGAGGCAGCAUG
rnacentral:rRNA from 1 species